UACGGGGGGGGAAAGCGUUGUUCGGAAUUACUGGGCGUAAAGGGCUCGUAGGCGGCCAACUAAGUCAGACGUGAAAUCCCUCGGCUUAACCGGGGAACUGCGUCUGAUACUGGAUGGCUUGAAUCCGGGAGAGGGAUGCGGAAUUCCAGGUGUAGCGGUGAAAUGCGUAGAUAUCUGGAGGAACACCGGUGGCGAAGGCGGCAUCCUGGACCGGCAUUGACGCUGAGGAGCGAAAGCCAGGGGAGCAAACGGG
rnacentral:rRNA from 1 species